UCCCAACUAAGUAGUGGCUGGCACGGAGCAGUGGGCUGCUCUUUAUUUAUGCGUUGCUGCAGCUCUUCUCCAGAGCUGUUCAGUGCUGGAGAGACAUUGCAGCUAUACAUUAUCCCUUUUUUGCUCUUGAAGGUUUACUCAAGAUAUACAGGAUAUUAGCAAACUUUUUCUCUGUGGAAUAUAUUUUAAAAAAUCGUAUCCCUGCACAGAAACCCUUUUAGAGAGCAACUGUGAACCUGCCCAUAAUGGACUGUGCUGAGAGGGAGCUCCAUGGUGGGUGUACACGCUGCAGAUAACAGCAGGAGUUGCGUAGAUAGAAAAGCCUUGCAGCAGCGUGGUGGAAGGGCACUUUGAGGCGCUGAAACGGUGUUUGUCAGGUAGCUCUAAGGACCAUAUACAGUAGCUACCGUAUAGGAUAAUCAGCGACAGAAAACACCAUAGAUAGCAUUCUAGCUGCCUCAGCGUGUGCGCUAGCAAACCUUGCUAAUAUCACAUGUUUUAUACAAAACAGGCACUCUCACUGACGGGACGGGAUCGCCUCCUAAGGACUGUAACCAUGCUGACAUCCAGUUUGGCUACACAGACAACCGAGCAAUUGACACCAAAAUGUAAAAUCUCAUAUUGUUUGCAUUUGUUUUGCUGAGCACCAAAAGCAUAAUAAAGUGAAGUCAUCGAUGCUCCCACGUUUAAGUUUACUAUAAUGUUUAUGAGAAAGCCUCAAGCUGGAGUGCUGUAAACGUGCAAAUAAAUGGAGACAGAGGGCAAAGACAGAACAUAAUUCAAGACAGAGAAGAGAAAAGAAAGUCAAACAUCCAAAUGCGAACAUGUAACAAGCAGUUGGAAGUAAGCUACUUGAAAAGUAAUGCAAUCGGGCUUUGAAUAUUUAUUCACAUAUUUAUUUCUGUUCUCCUUUCCGUACAGACCCAGUAAGAGACUAUUCAACAGGCCUCCUUCUGCUGGAGCUAGAUGUGAUGGAGCUGGGGCAAUGCAGGGCAUUUGCAAGUGUAGGUUUCUAUAUGUGUGCGGCCUGCCCUGGAAAAAGCUCCAGCUCAUCUGCCAAACUCAUUUGGUGAAGAAAGAAAUGGACACUGGAAACAUUUUUCUGACUGCCCUGCUUCAUGUACCGCGUGCUGCACAUCAGCACGGGAAGACACUGUUUCUAAAAGUGAACUGUCUCCUUAUUAACAGACUCAUUUACUGAGACAUGGAGCUAGCAAAUGAGCUGCACACAGCUCGCCCGUCUGUGCUGCCUCCAAGCUCUGCCUUCCUGCAACCUAUGCUCUUCCCUCCAAGCUGGACUCAGGUAAUUUAGCCUCUAAGUACCUGUAGGUGGCUGGCUGUGCACUUUUAUGUUGCUUAUUGUUCUGAGAAUCUGUGUACAACUUUCUAAAUGGCUCGUCUCCCUGCUGCUUUAAUAAACCACGAUACAACAAGGGGACA
rnacentral:lncRNA from 1 species